GGCCUGGCAUGGCAUAGCACACUGGUAGAAGCUCUCCCCUCUCCUUCGUGUUCCGCCGGCUCCUUCCUCCCAGGCAGCAGCAUAACCAGAUCGGGGACUCCUGCCGGCUCCUUCCUCCCAGGCAGCAGCAUAACCAGGUACCCCUAUUGGAUUCUACAUUAACAAGUGGACGUGAUCGGCGUGUGAUGUAGGUAAGUAUGUGUGAGUGUGUAAGUGUGUUUUAAUAAAUUUUUACUUUCACGGUGUGUGUGUUGUGUUUUUAGUUGGGUAUUUUUGUUAUUUCCCCGCAUGCUGCUACUUGAGGUUCUCCAAGUACCAGCAAGCGGGGGAGGCUUGCUGGGCCUUGUAGUUCCAUAACAAAAACAAUAUUCAUUUGUUUGACACAUGUGUCAAACAAAUGAAUAGGCUAUCAGCCCAGCACCCACCACCCAGGGGUGCUGGGGACAGCCUCGGGCUUCAACCCUGGCCCUUGGGUGCCUGGAGAGGGGGACCCCUUGAUUUAAGGGGUCCCCACUCCUCCAGGGAACCCCAGCCAGGGGUGACUAGUUGGGGGAUAAUGCCACAGCUGCAGGGACCUACAUAAAUGUGUCCACCGGCUAUGUCAUUAUCUCCAUGGCUAGUGGAUAAAUAGGUAAAAAUAGCACAUUUGAGGCGACAGAAGGGAUGACUGGGUUAGGCAAGGUUAGUGGGUGGGCAGGUGGUCUGGGCAAACUCUGCAUAGUCUCUUAAUGCCUAGAGGGACGGGCAGUCCUUCAGCCAUGGGUCCCCAGAGGUUUCCUCCACAAGGGGGUUUUUCCUCUCCUGAGUGCUGAAGGAUGACUCUUCAUGAGUCAUGAGGCUCCCGCCAUCUUGUUCCUCUUAUAGGACAAGUUUGUAAGAUUACUGGACCAAUCUUAGUCCGAAAUUACCUAUUUUAGAAUGCAGAGUAAAUAAUAAUAUGAAUAAUUACAAAAUAAUAAUCAUCAUCAUCAUCAUCAUCAUUACCAUCAGAAGAAGAAGAAGAAGAAGAAGAAGUGGCUAAAUUUUACGUAAAAUAAAAAUAGACAUUUAUUUUUUAAAUAUAUUUUGCUUGAAGUUGUCU